UACGUAGGGUGCAAGCGUUGUCCGGAAUUAUUGGGCGUAAAGAGCUCGUAGGCGGUCUGUCGCGUCUGCUGUGAAAAUCCAGGGCUCAACCCUGGACCUGCAGUGGGUACGGGCAGACUAGAGUGCGGUAGGGGAGAUCGGAAUUCCUGGUAUAGCGGUGAAAUGCGCAGAUAUCAGGAGGAACACCGGUGGCGAAGGCGGAUCUCUGGGCCAUUACUGACGCUGAGGAGCGAAAGCGUGGGGAGCGAACAGG
rnacentral:rRNA from 1 species